rnacentral:rRNA from 1 species
AUGGCUUUAGAAAAACAAUCUGGAAAGAUUGGCCAUAGAAGGUGAUAGCCCUGUAUUUAAAAGGGCCACUCCAGUGAAGACGAGUAGGGCGGGGCACGUGAAACCCUGUCUGAAUAUGGGGGGACCAUCCUCCAAGGCUAAAUACUCCUGACCGACCGAUAGUGAACCAGUACCGUGAGGGAAAGGCGAAAAGAACCCCGGAGAGGGGAGUGAAAUAGAUCCUGAAACCGUGUGCGUACAAGCAGUAGGAGCUCGCAAGAGUGACUGCGUACCUUUUGUAUAAUGGGUCAGCGACUUACUGUUCGUGGCAAGCUUAACCGUAUAGGGGAGGCGAAGGGAAACCGAGUCUGAUAAGGGCGCAUAGUCGCGGGCAGUAGACCCGAAACCGGGUGAUCUAGUCAUGGCCAGGGUGAAGGUGCCGUAACAGGUACUGGAGGCCCGAACCCACGUCUGUUGCAAAAGACGGGGAUGAGCUGUGAUUAGGAGUGAAAAGCUAAUCGAACCCGGAGAUAGCUGGUUCUCCUCGAAAGCUAUUUAGGUAGCGCCUCAUAUGUAUCCUCUCGGGGGUAGAGCACUGUUAUGGCUAGGGGGUCAUCGCGACUUACCAAACCAUUGCAAACUCCGAAUACCGAGACGGACUGUAUGGGAGACACACGGCGGGUGCUAACGUCCGUCGUGAAAAGGGAAACAACCCAGACCCACAGCUAAGGUCCCAAAUUCACUGCUAAGUGGAAAACGAUGUGGAAAGGCAUAGACAGCCAGGAGGUUGGCUUAGAAGCAGCCACCCUUUAAAGAAAGCGUAAUAGCUCACUGGUCGAGUCGGUCUGCGCGGAAGAUUUAACGGGGCUAAGCAGUGAACCGAAGCUUGGGGUGCAUAAAACUUGUUUUAUGCGCGGUAGAGGAGCGUUCCGUAAGCCUGCGAAGGUGGAUUGAGAAGUCUGCUGGAGGUAUCGGAAGUGCGAAUGCUGACAUGAGUAACGAUAAUGCGGGUGAAAAGCCCGCACGCCGAAAGCCCAAGGUUUCCUUGCGCAACGUUAAUCGACGCAGGGUUAGUCGGUCCCUAAGGCGAGGGCGAAAGCCGUAGUCGAUGGGAAGCAGGUUAAUAUUCCUGCACCUCGCGUGAGUGCGAUGGAGGGACGGAGAAGGUUAGGUGUACCGGGCGUUGGUUGUCCCGGGGAAAGGCGGUAGGUUUGGAUCUUUGGCAAAUCCGGGAUCCUUUAAGACCGAGCACCGAGACGAGCCUUUAUGGCGAAGUCACUGAUACCACGCUUCCAGGAAAAGCUCCUAAGCUUCAGCUCACGAAGACCGUACCGUAAACCGACACAGGUGGGUAGGAUGAGAAUUCUCAGGCGCUUGAGAGAACUCGGGUGAAGGAACUAGGCAACAUGGCACCGUAACUUCGGGAGAAGGUGCACCCUUUUUGGUGGCUCGUGCGAGCUAUAGCUGAAGAGGGUCGCAGAAACCAGGCCGCUGCGACUGUUUAUCAAAAACACAGCACUCUGCAAACACGAAAGUGGACGUAUAGGGUGUGACGCCUGCCCGGUGCUGGAAGGUUAAUUGAUGGGGUCAGCCGCAAGGCGAAGCUCUUGAUCGAAGCCCCAGUAAACGGCGGCCGUAACUAUAACGGUCCUAAGGUAGCGAAAUUCCUUGUCGGGUAAGUUCCGACCUGCACGAAUGGCGUAACGACAGCGGCGCUGUCUCCACCCGAGACUCAGUGAAAUUGAAAUCGCUGUGAAGAUGCAGCGUUCCCGUGGCAAGACGGAAAGACCCCGUGAACCUUUACUAUAGCUUUACACUGAACGUUGAGUUCGUCUGUGUAGGAUAGGUGGGAGGCUAUGAAACUGUGGCGCUAGCUGCAGUGGAGCCAUCCUUGAAAUACCACCCUGUCGUGCUUGACGUUCUAACCUAGGUCCGUUAUCCGGAUCAGGGACCGUGUAUGGUGGGUAGUUUGACUGGGGCGGUCUCCUCCUAAAGAGUAACGGAGGAGCACGAAGGUACGCUCAGCGCGGUCGGACAUCGCGCACUGUGUGCAAAGGCAUAAGCGUGCUUGACUGCAAGAUCGACGGAUCAAGCAGGUACGAAAGUAGGUCUUAGUGAUCCGGUGGUUCUGUAUGGAAGGGCCAUCGCUCAACGGAUAAAAGGUACUCCGGGGAUAACAGGCUGAUACCGCCCAAGAGUUCAUAUCGACGGCGGUGUUUGGCACCUCGAUGUCGGCUCAUCACAUCCUGGGGCUGUAGUCGGUCCCAAGGGUAUGGCUGUUCGCCAUUUAAAGUGGUACGCGAGCUGGGUUCAGAACGUCGUGAGACAGUUCGGUCCCUAUCUGCCAUGGGCGUUGGAAGUUUGAGAGGGGCUGCUCCUAGUACGAGAGGACCGGAGUGGACGAACCUCUGGUGUUCCGGUUGUCACGCCAGUGGCAUUGCCGGGUAGCUAUGUUCGGAAGCGAUAACCGCUGAAAGCAUCUAAGCGGGAAGCGCGCCUCAAGAUGAGACUUCCCGGGGCACAAGCCCCCUAAAGGAACCAUGUAGACUACGUGGUUGAUAGGUCAGGUGUGUAAGUACAGCAAUGUAUUGAGCUAACUGAUACUAAUGAUCCGUGCGGCUUGACCAU